rnacentral:rRNA from 1 species
AACGAACGCUGGCGGCGUGGAUAAGACAUGCAAGUCGAACGCUGGCUGCGGGGUAGCAAUAUUCCGCAGUUGGAGUGGCGUAAGGGUGCGUAACACGUGGGUAAUCUGCCGUGAAGCCUGGGAUAACCCCGAGAAAUCGGGGCUAAUACCGGAUGUGGCUGCCUGGGGGCAUCUCUGGGCGGCUAAAGCUGGGGACCGUAAGGCCUGGCACUUCAUGAUGAGCCCGCGGCCUAUCAGCUAGUUGGUGAGGUAACGGCCCACCAAGGCUAAGACGGGUAGCUGGUCUGAGAGGACGACCAGCCACACUGGAACUGAGACACGGUCCAGACACCUACGGGUGGCUG